rnacentral:rRNA from 1 species
UCCACGCCGUAAACGAUGACUACUAGGUCGUGGCAAUUCUGACGUUGUCGCGGCCGAAGCAAAAGUGUUAAGUAGUCCGCCUGGGGAGUACGGUCGCAAGGCUAAAACUCAAAGGAAUUGACGGGGGCUCACACAAGCGGUGGAGCAUGUGGCUUAAUUCGAAGCAACGCGAAGAACCUUAUCCUGGGUUUGACAUGUAUGGAUGCCCUUUGCGAAAGCAAAGUAAGCUGCCUUCGGG